AUGCACGCUGGCGGCGUGCCUAAUACAUGCCAGUCGAGCGAACAGACGAGGAGCUUGCUCCUCUGACGUUAGCGGCGGACGGGUGAGUAACACGUGGAUAACCUACCUAUAAGACUGGGAUAACUUCGGGAAACCGGAGCUAAUACCGGAUAAUAUAUUGAACCGCAUGGUUCAAUAGUGAAAGACGGUUUUGCUGUCACUUAUAGAUGGAUCCGCGCCGCAUUAGCUAGUUGGUAAGGUAACGGCUUACUAAGGCAACGAUGCGUAGCCGACCUGAGAGGGUGAUCGGCCACACUGGAACUGAGACACGGUCCAGACUCCUACGGGAGGCAGCAGUAGGGAAUCUUCCGCAAUGGGCGAAAGCUUGACGGAGCAACGCCGCGUGAGUGAUGAAGGUCUUCGGAUCGUAAAACUCUGUUAUUAGGGAAGAACAAAUGUGUAAGUAACUAUGCACGUCUUGACGGUACCUAAUCAGAAAGCCACGGCUAACUACGUG
rnacentral:rRNA from 1 species